GAAAUCAACCGAGAUUCCCCCAGUAGCGGCGACCGAAAGGGGAGGAGCCCAGAGUCUUAAUCAGUUUUUGUGAUAGUGGAAUCGUCUGGAAAGUCGCACGGUACAGGGUGAUAGACCCGUACACCAAAAUGCACAGGCUGUGAACUAGAUGAGAUGGGCGGGACACGUGCCAUCCUGUCUGAAUAUGCGGGGACCAACCUCCAAGGCUAAAUACUCCUGACUGACCGAUAGUGAAGCAG
rnacentral:rRNA from 1 species